GAGGUCGGGUCGGAACCCACUGCCGGUAGUUAGCCGGUAUUCCCCUGCAGGGAAGCCGCGCCGUUCACGGCGCGGAGGAUGUCACACCAGC
rnacentral:sRNA from 1 species